rnacentral:sRNA from 12 species
GCCGGAGUUCCGUAAAGUCAAGGCUUUCGGAAGAGUGUCUUGUAAAUUCAGUAACCUACCGGCGGCGGAAAAAUGCCCGCAGCGGAUCAUUCGGCGGUCGCGUUGUGUUGUCGUCGGUUAUGAAAAACCAAUCUGCGGCGGGGUUUGUCCCUUUUGGGAAUCCUCCGCCUCAUUUAGCAAGUGGUUACUUUCUAU